rnacentral:rRNA from 1 species
GAUGAACGCUGGCGGCGUGCUUAACACAUGCAAGUCGAACGGAAAGGCCCAAGCUUGCUUGGGUACUCGAGUGGCGAACGGGUGAGUAACACGUGGGUGAUCUGCCCUGCACUUCGGGAUAAGCCUGGGAAACUGGGUCUAAUACCGGGUAGGACCACUUCUUGGAUGUUGUGGUGGAAAGUUUUUUCGGUGUGGGAUGAGCUCGCGGCCUAUCCGCUUUUUGGUGGGGAAAUGGCCUACCAAGGCGUUGACGGGUAGCCGGCCUGAGAGGGUGUACGGCCACAUUGGGACUGAGAGACAGCCCAGACUCCGACGGGAGGCAGCAGUGGGGAAUAUUGGACAAUGGGCGCAAGCCUGAUGCAGCGACGCCGCGUGGGGGAUGACGGCCUUCGGGUUGUAAACUCCUAUCGCUAGGGACGAAGCGUUUUUGUGACGGUACCUGGAGAAGAAGCACCGGCUAACUACGUG